ACAAAGAACAGCUAUUUUAAACUUAAAAAUUAAAGUUAUUUUAAUUUGUGAAGAAACAAUUAUUAAAWUUAGGGACAAGAAGACCCUAAGAAUUUUAUGAUUAAUAACUUUUUAUAAUGAAAAMUUAUUAAUUUUUAGUUGGGGCAACUAAAAAAUAUUAUGAACUUUUUAAUAAAUAAAAUGAGCCAUUAUUAAUGAUAAUUUGUAAAAAUACUCUAGGGAUAACAGCGUAAUAAUUUUUGAUAGAACAUAUAGACAAAAUAGUUUGCGACCUCGAUGUUGGAUUAGG
rnacentral:rRNA from 1 species